rnacentral:rRNA from 1 species
AACAAAAUUAUUCGCCAGAGUACUACUAGCCAAAGCUAAAAACUCAAAGGACUUGGCGGUGCUUAUAUCCAUCUAGAGGAGCCUGUUCUAUAAUCGAUAAACCCCGAUUUACCUCACCAACCCUUGCCAAAUCAGCCUAUAUACCGCCAUCUUCAGCAAACCCUGAAAAGGAAACAUAGUAAGCAUAAAUAUUAACAUAAAAACGUUAGGUCAAGGUGUAGCCCAUGGGCUGGGAAGUAAUGGGCUACAUUUCCCACCCGGGGACUUCAUUUACGAAAACUGGUGUGAAAACCACAAGUUAAAGGUGGAUUUAGUAGUAAAUUAAGAAUAGAGU